rnacentral:rRNA from 1 species
UUAUGAAUAAGGAUCGGCUAACUCCGUGCCAGCAGCCGCGGUAAUACGGAGGAUCCGAGCGUUAUCCGGAUUUAUUGGGUUUAAAGGGAGCGUAGAUGGAUGUUUAAGUCAGUUGUGAAAGUUUGCGGCUCAACCGUAAAAUUGCAGUUGAUACUGGAUAUCUUGAGUGCAGUUGAGGCAGGCGGAAUUCGUGGUGUAGCGGUGAAAUGCUUAGAUAUCACGAAGAACUCCGAUUGCGAAGGCAGCCUGCUAAGCUGCAACUGACAUUGAGGCUCGAAAGUGUGGGUAUCAAACAGGAUUAGAUACCCUGGUAGUCCACACGGUAAACGAUGAAUACUCGCUGUUUGCGAUAUACUGCAAGCGGCCAAGCGAAAGCGUUAAGUAUUCCACCUGGGGAGUACGCCGGCAACGGUGAAACUCAAAGGAAUUGACGGGGGCCCGCACAAGCGGAGGAACAUGUGGUUUAAUUCGAUGAUACGCGAGGAACCUUACCCGGGCUUGAAUUGCAACUGAAUGAUGUGGAGACAUGUCAGCCGCAAGGCAGUUGUGAAGGUGCUGCAUGGUUGUCGUCAGCUCGUGCCGUGAGGUGUCGGCUUAAGUGCCAUAACGAGCGCAACCCUUGUUGUCAGUUACUAACAGGUUCCGCUGAGGACUCUGACAAGACUGCCAUCGUAAGAUGUGAGGAAGGUGGGGAUGACGUCAAAUCAGCACGGCCCUUACGUCCGGGGCUACACACGUGUUACAAUGGGGGGUACAGAAGGCAGCUACACGGCGACGUGAUGCUAAUCCCUAAAGCCUCUCUCAGUUCGGAUUGGAGUCUGCAACCCGACUCCAUGAAGCUGGAUUCGCUAGUAAUCGCGCAUCAGCCACGGCGCGGUGAAUACGUUCCCGGGCCUUGUACACACCGCCCGUCAAGCCAUGGGAGCCGGGGGUACCUGAAGUGCGUAACCGCGAGGAGCGCCCUAGGGUAAAACUGGUGACUGGGGCUAAGUCGUAACAAGGUAGCCGUACCGGAAGGUGCGGCUG